UGUUUUCGAAGUGGGAAAAAGGUUAAAUGAUGUUUGGGUGUGAAGUAUUUUUUUCUUUGCUUCUUUUGACGAAACAAUUCUCGAGAGUAAAGGCAGUAAUAUCAUGUAUUUCAAAAGAUGUGUAAUGCCCCAAAACAAUAUUUUGAAGAAGAGAAAAACUCAAAAAUGCUCAAAAUUUGAACAGAUUGUAGAGCUACCAAGUUUGAAACUUAUCAUCUGAAAUAUGAUGAAAAAAUGGCAGUAGGUGAUUUCAAGUUUCCUGCAGCUAAAAUGGUUACAAUCAAGAAUUUAAUUGGAAACCGAGAAAAAAUGUCGAUUUUCAUCUUGGGUUACGAAGAUUUUUUGCACGAUUCUGGCAAUUGUUGGCUUUUUACAAAGAAUUAAGUAAAUAAAAUAACAAUAAAUAAAUUUAAUCAAAUCGUUUUCAAUUUUCAGCCUGAGGUCAAUUUAUAAUAGCAAAAAAAGAAAUGUCUAAUACAAAUGCCACUAUUUGCAUCAUAUCAUAUGAUUUUCGUCGUGGGCCUGAUUUUUUCAAAAGUUUGAAAUACUUUUCGACACUCAAAAAGCGAGUGCCAAAAGUUGUUGAUAUGGCCACGACUUUCAUACAAAAUAUUGUCGCUUCGAAGGAAAUGAAAAUAAAUAUACAUAUCUGGCGUAUAUUUAAGUGGAUUUGGUUUGGGUGGACAUAUCGCUGGUAAUGUUGGCCUUGCCUUGAAACGAAUCAAUAAAGGGCGAAUGGUGUCAGCAAUUUGGGCAUUCGAUCCGCCACACAUCGGUUUUCCAAAUCCAAAGGAAUGGACAGAGGGUAAACCUAGACGAGUGCAAAAAGGCGAUGGAAAAUUUGUUGUAGUUUUUCAUACAUCUACAAUGGGAGUUCAAGACAGCACCGCCGACGUUGAUGUUAUUUUGAAUGAUGGAAAAAACAACCAGGUUCAAUAAAAUUUUAAAAACUUUAUUUCACAUAAUGUGAAAAAGCGCCGGUAAAAUUGACUUGCGAUCAUACAAUACAUCUGCAAUGAUGCUUCGUAGUUUGAUUAUAGUGAGCAAAAAAGUGCUUCCUUAAACGAAUUUGGAUUCAUAAACGUCAAAUCUAAGGAUUCUUCGGAAAAUUUAUUUUAAUACUGGUAUUUUCAACAGUUGAAUGGAAAGAAUUUAUGAAAAUAAAAAACAAACAAAUUUCAAAAGAUAUCGACCGAAAAUCAAAGUCUUUGAUUCAAAGAUAUCUCAUUCCAAUAUCUCUUUAAUAUAUAUAUAUUAAAGUAAACCAUUUGAAAUAUUCAAUCAAAGAAGAUUUUAAUCACAACAGUCAAUUUUCACCUUUUCACAUUUAAAACAAUUCCCAUAGCUUCUGAUGGUCGCGCAACCAAGGGGGAGUUAAUUUCAAAAAAAAAAUUCUAUCUAAAUCUCCAGCUUUUUCCGUUUUUUUUUGCUCCUUACUUUUUUGGCGAAAAUCCC